rnacentral:rRNA from 1 species
AGGGAAUCUUCCGCAAUGGGCGAAAGCCUGACGGAGCAACGCCGCGUGAGUGAUGAAGGUCUUCGGAUCGUAAAACUCUGUUAUUAGGGAAGAACAAAUGUGUAAGUAACUAUGCACGUCUUGACGGCACCUAAUCAGAAAGCCACGGCUAACUACGUGCCAGCAGCCGCGGUAAUACGUAGGUGGCAAGCGUUAUCCGGAAUUAUUGGGCGUAAAGCGCGCGUAGGCGGUUUUUUAAGUCUGAUGUGAAAGCCCACGGCUCAACCGUGGAGGGUCAUUGGAAACUGGAAAACUUGAGUGCAGAAGAGGAAAGUGGAAUUCCAUGUGUAGCGGUGAAAUGCGCAGAGAUAUGGAGGAACACCAGUGGCGAAGGCGACUUUCUGGUCUGUAACUGACGCUGAUGUGCGAAAGCGUGGGGAUCAAACAGGAUUAGAUACCCUGGUAGUCCACGCCGUAAACGAUGAGUGCUAAGUGUUAGGGGGUUUCCGCCCCUUAGUGCUGCAGCUAACGCAUUAAGCACUCCGCCUGGGGAGUACGACCGCAAGGUUG